rnacentral:rRNA from 1 species
UACGUAGGGGGCAAGCGUUGUCCGGAUUGACUGGGCGUAAAGGGUGCGUAGGCGGUUUGGUAAGUCAAAUGUGAAAGCCCGUAGCUUGACUACGGAACUGCAUUUGAUACUGCUAGACUCGAGUUCGGGAGAGGCAAGCGGAAUUCCUAGUGUAGCGGUGAAAUGCGUAGAUAUUAGGAGGAACACCGGUGGCGAAGGCGGCUUGCUGGAACGACACUGACGCUGAGGCACGAAAGCGUGGGGAGCAAAC